rnacentral:rRNA from 1 species
CAUGCAAGUCGAACGGAGAUCAUUUGGUAGAAGUUUUCGGAUGGACAUCGAGUGAUCUUAGUGGCGAACGGGUGAGUAACGCGUGAGCAAUCUGCCUCAGAGUGGGGGACAACAGUUGGAAACGACUGCUAAUACCGCAUAAGCCCACAGCACCGCAUGGUGCAGGGGGAAAAGAUUUAUUGCUUUGAGAUGAGCUCGCGUCCAAUUAGCUAGUUGGUGAGGUAACGGCCCACCAAGGCGACGAUUGGUAGCCGGACUGAGAGGUUGAACGGCCACAUUGGGACUGAGAUACGGCCCAGACUCCUACGGGAGGCAGCAGUGGGGAAUAUUGCACAAUGGGGGGAACCCUGAUGCAGCGACGCCGCGUGGAGGAAGAAGGUCUUCGGAUUGUAAACUCCUGUUGUUAGGGACGAUAAUGACGGUACCUAACAAGGAAGCACCGGCUAACUACGUGCCAGCAGCCGCGGUAAAACGUAGGGUGCAAGCGUUGUCCGGAAUUACUGGGUGUAAAGGGAGCGCAGGCGGGCAUGCAAGUUGGAAGUGAAAACUAUGGGCUCAACCCAUAGCUUGCUUUCAAAACUGCGUGUCUUGAGUAGUGCAGAGGUAGGCGGAAUUCCCGGUGUAGCGGUGGAAUGCGUAGAUAUCGGGAGGAACACCAGUGGCGAAGGCGGCCUACUGGGCACCAACUGACGCUGAG